rnacentral:lncRNA from 1 species
GGUAGCAUGAAUCAGUGGUGUGUUCCUUUUUAUUGCUGAAUGAUAUGUCAGUCAGAUGUCUAUUUAAAAGACUAUGCUGGUUAUAGAAUGAAAGAUGGGGUAGGAGGAGGAAGAAAGUAGAGGCCAAGAGACCAGUUAGGAGACACUGGUUGUUGUUCAGGCCGAGACAAAGAAGGUGUGAGUUGGUAGAGAGGCUGUGGGCAUGAAGAGAGAGGACUGGGUGGGAGGUUACAGGUCUGGGAGCAAUUAGUGUACAAUAGGACCAUUGGGGAGGCUUGACCAGAGGCCAGGAGCUACAUAGGGAAAGUGAGAAGCCCAGGAGAGGUCUGAAUUCCCACAGGGCUAAGAAACAGGACCUGAGCUGAUUGCACCUCUGGGCAGAUUCAUACCUGGCUGAAGGAACAGAGUGCUCUAAGGACCCACCAGCCCUGCGGACCCUCCUGGUGGUCUGCUGCCAGGCUGGCUCCUUGGGCUAUUGGGAUGAAGAUAAUGAGAACAUGUUUGUCAACUGUGCAGGUGACACAAAUCUGGAAAGAACAGCAAAUUUGGGAUAACAAUGUUCAAAAACAUCUUGGCGGGCUCCAGUGAUGGGCUGUGGCAAAAUCUGGGCAGCUCCACGGGGGUGAGACCUAGUGGAUUAUGAGUCUUCUGGUUACCUGUCUGUCUUCCUAGGAUGCUGUGAGCUUUGUGAGAACAAGAACAGUGUCUGCAGGACACAAGGAGUGUCAUCUGAAAAGGACCCCAACAACUUGCUCUGGGUCUCAGCUCUGGGGGUUUCCCCAAUAAAACCUGAUCCCUAACCCAUACUGUAUGAUGUGCAGAAAUUUAUCCCAAGCCCUGGUAACUCAACAGGUGGUCAUCACAAUAGUGACAUCUUCUUCUUCGUAUCCAUUUAUCAAACCAACUGUCAUGCCAGCCCAUGGACAACAGAAGGCACAGACCCCUUGGAUGAUGGGCACCUUCACUAAACAGAGUCAGCUCAGAUUUCCAAAUACAAGUAUUAAGCAGGGGCCCCAUUACUGCACUCUGUUUACGGUGUCCUCAUUCUUGGAAACUGGAAAUUCUGAUAACAUUUACUGCACUGUCUAAUGAUAUAACUAGCAUAUGCUCUCUGAGGCAGAUCUGGAAAAUAUAAGCAAGAUUAACUUUUUGAUUAAUCUCUCUCUCAAUACAGAAUACAUGCUCAGCAUAUUCAUUCAUUCAUCCAUACACAUAGGUACACAGACACACACACACACAAACACAUACACACCACAGAUUCUUUCUACAUAUUUGGGAUCAACAGUUUGGCUUUUAGUUUCAAAUUAAAAACAUUUUUCUGUCCUUAAGACUCUUUGAAAACAGUCUGUGCACUCAGGGCAUCACACCCCACCCUAUGCAGGUUCCAUGACUGAUGUGCCCAUUCCCCUCUCAUUGCCGUGUAGGUGGUUUUGGAUUUGGGGAUUGGCUUUGGUAAGCCUAAGUCUGCAACCAGUACAUCGGCUGUGUCUCUCACGUGAGCCCAUGAGUCCUUCCCCCUUUAAGCAACCUUCUCUCAGAACCUGCAAUCCUUCCUCUUCUGGUCCCCUUGCUCCUGGGUGUGUGUGUAACUUCCCUCUGUUCCUCACCUCAAGGGCAAGUUAUGCCCUAGCCCCCUGCUUCCCCCUGGCCAGCUAGCUUCUGUGACUUCACAUCUUCACAGUCCUGCGAGACCACAAAAAAGAUCCUUCCUGGCUCUCUCCUGCCAUCUCCUGCCCACUCACAUCUCUAGCUCCCUGGCUGAAGCAGUACAGUGCUCGAAUGAAUUAGAAAAGCAGGACAAACCUAAAUCCAUGUGAAAACAUGCAAUAGGUUUCAUUGUAAAGUCCCAUGGUUGCUUUGUUCUCAGCUAUCUGCAUAUGACAUUAUGACAAGCCUGAUUUAGCAUCUGGAAAGAGACCUAGAGGCAUAAUUGGUUAAUAAGCUAAAGAAGAAUCAAUAGUGGAAUGUGGCUGUCAAAAGAGAAAGUUAGGCUGGGCGCGGUGGCUCACACCUGUAAUCACAGCACUUUGGAAGGCGGGUGGAUCUCGAGGUCAAGAGAUCGAGACC